GACCCAGUGGUGAAGUGGUAUCGCAUCUGCUCGACUUUUAGGAAACAUGAGUUCAGUUUCUGCGGAAGACACCCGUUCGAUUCGGGUCUGGGUCA